UCCUGUCCGCCAUGGAAUUUAAAAUGCAGUUUGCUUCACCUGUUCCAAGGAGUUUUGCUGCUUUGGAUUAUUCACUAAGUAAGGGGAGUUUUCUUAGUGUGUGCCGACCGAUCGAGUAAGGGGAAGUUAGUUUUGCUUGCCUUUCAUUCAAGUAAGGAACCUCUACAGACAGCACCUGUUCUUGACUGCUAGGUCCAGGGCUCAUCCGGAUAAACACUGAAUUAUCAGAGGACUCGGAGACAACAUCUUCAUCAUCUUCUUCUUCUUCUUCUUCCAGCCUUGAGGAUGCAACAGGUGAGCGCUGAUGAACUGGAGAAGCAGGAGGCACAAGCACUGAGCUGGAUGUCUAAAAGAGAAAAAAAAAGACUGAUUACUGAAGGAUGUUAAAUUUGUACAAAACACUUUGUACUUAUCUACUACAAUGAUAGCCAACAUAUUGUUCUGUGCAAUAAAUGUCACGAUAUAUGUCAACUAAACUCCUUUUUAUGACUAGUCCUUCUAAAGGUUGUUUAAUAAACAAGUCCCACAGGGUCA